rnacentral:rRNA from 1 species
GACGAACGCUGGCGGCGUGCUUAACACAUGCAAGUCGAACGGAAAGGCCUCUUUCGGGGGGUACUCGAGUGGCGAACGGGUGAGUAACACGUGAGUAACCUGCCCUUGACUUUGGGAUAACUUCAGGAAACUGGGGCUAAUACCGGAUAGGAGCUCCUGCUGCAUGGUGGGGGUUGGAAAGUUUCGGCGGUUGGGGAUGGACUCGCGGCUUAUCAGCUUGUUGGUGGGGUAGUGGCUUACCAAGGCUUUGACGGGUAGCCGGCCUGAGAGGGUGACCGGCCAUAUGGGGAUGGAGUGACGGCCCAGACUCCUCGGGGGGGGGGAGGGGGGGAAAUUGGCAAAAGGGGGGGAGGCCGAAGGCAGCACCCCCGUGUGGGGGAGGACGGCCUGGGGGUUGAAACCCGUUUCGCCCCAGGAGAAGGUUUUGUGGGAGGGUAGGGGAUAAAGAAGCCCCGCCAAACUAGGUC